rnacentral:tRNA from 3 species
UGGGAUGUAGCCAAGUGGUAAGGCAACAGACUUUGACUCUGUCAUUUCGCUGGUUCGAUCCCAGCCAUCCCAGCCA